ensembl:snoRNA Gm25396 predicted gene, 25396
CCUGCCCCUGGAAGCACUGAGUGAGGGUGUGGCUGCUGUGACACAUGCUCAUCAGUGGUGGCACAGAGGAGAGGCUAUGUCUACACUCAGUGUUCUGACCUAUGAACAUCUGAAUGAUCAGUAGCCUAAUAUU